rnacentral:rRNA from 1 species
GGUUAAGCGACUAAGCGUACACGGUGGAUGCCUAGGCAGUCAGAGGCGAUGAAGGGCGUGCUAAUCUGCGAAAAGCGUCGGUAAGGUGAUAUGAACCGUUAUAACCGACGAUACCCGAAUGGGGAAACCCAGUGCAAUUCGUUGCACUAUUGCAUGGUGAAUACAUAGCCAGCAAGGCGAACGGGG